UAUGUAGCUAGGCGUUUAAUGUCUAUUUCAAAAAGUUGUUAACUAAAUUAUAUAUUCAAAAUUUUCCUUUAAAAAAUGUAUAAUUUUGUAUAAUGGAAAAGUAUAUAGAGUACAAAUGCUGCAAUCCGGCAUCUAGCCUCAGCACGUCUAGCUCAACAAAAAUAUUUUGUGAUGGGGAAAAACUGUGCAAUCCAUGUGGAUGUUAUCGUUGCUGUAAGUCCGCAUUUUUUAAUGAUCAUACCUAUUCUAUCUUGAAGAGGAUAUGUCAUAAGAUAAUACAAAAUCAAAGCCGGCAAAGGUGUCGCGAAAACUAUUCCGUUUUCGAUGGUGGCAAUAGCACAAUCAUUAGACCCGCAUUCAAAGGACAACAAGAUGGGACUGAUCUAUUUAAUAAUUGUAUUCCGACCCAAAGUGUGUCACUCAAAAGCGGACAUAGAGAACAAAAACAUGAAUAUGUUCGUGUGCCUGACUUAAAAAGAAAUGAAAUUGGAAAAAGCAAUGCUGCAUGGUAUGAGAAUAUGGGUCAAAGGCAAAAUAGUAAAAAGCCUUAUAUUUCGGGAGACAAUGAUGAAACUAAUAUUGGGAGGGAGACCAAAAUGAUACGAAAAGGGCCAAUCCGCUAUCAAAAGGGAAAUAAGAACGAGGAGACUGUAACCAAAAACAAUAUAGAUGUUUUGGAAAACGGUCUUAACAAAUACAGCAAAGAAAACAAUAACAAAGAUACUUCAAUUUU